GGAAGGGAGGAAGCGUAGAAGGUGCCGAUGCACUUUUCCUCUCUCCAGACUUCCUGACUGCUCCAAGAAUUUCAUCGAACAAGACUCAAAGAGGCCCAGCUGCUCUGCGUUUUGAUUCUUCUCCCUCUCUCAGUCCACACUGACCUGGGAGGGGCUUCUCAAACACCACAUUUCCUAGCAUGCUGUGAGAAGAGGACUGUGAGCUAAAAAGGGAGAAAAGCCAAAUAAAAACACAGACAAACCAACCAACCAAGCACUGACGAGCCAGUAAAGAGGGAACUGUGGAGGAAUCAGGGCUGAGAGAAUCUCUGAUACAGCAGCGGAAAUAGGCACUCCCUUCCUCAUCAACAAACACCUGACCUGGGUAGACCCUCUGCUUACCAAGAUCCAGUCCACCUUUUGACAUCAGCAUUCAUGCUGCCUCUUUUUACGAACCAAGCCAAAGUGGUCCCUUCCUCUGGAAAUUAUAGGGUACUUAAUGUACCUCAUAUCCAGCUUCCCAACUCCAGACUGUGGGAGAUGACAUCGAGUCAGCCUGCCUGGAUGUGACUCAGCUCUGCAACUUAUUAAAGACCUUUGGCAAAUCACCUAA
rnacentral:antisense_RNA from 1 species